AGAAUCAACGCUGGCGGCGUGCCUAACACAUGCAAGUCGCACGAGAAAGUGGAGCAAUCCAUGAGUAAAGUGGCGCACGGGUGAGUAACACGUGAAUCAUCUACCUCCGAGUGGGGAAUAACCUAGAGAAAUCUGGGCUAAUACCGCAUAACACUUACGAGUCAAAGCAGCAAUGCGCUUGGAGAGGAGUUCGCGGCCGAUUAGCUAGUUGGCGGGGUAAUGGCCCACCAAGGCGAUGAUCGGUA
rnacentral:rRNA from 1 species